AUUGAACGCUGGCGGCAGGCCUAACACAUGCAAGUCGAACGAGUGGCGGACGGGUGAGUAAUUUCUGGGAAAAUGCCUGAUGGAGGGGGAUAACUACUGGAAACGGUAGCUAAUACCGCAUACCAUCAGAUGUGCCCAGAUGGGAUUAGCUUGUUGGUGGGGUAACGGCUCACCAAGACGACACUCCCUAUCUGGGCUGAGAGUAUGACCGUCCAGACGGGAACGGAGACACGGUCCAGACUCCUACGGGAGGCAGCAGUGGUGAAUAGUGCACAAUGGGCGCAAGCCUGAUGCAGCCAUGCCGCGUGUAUGAAGAAGGCAUUCGGGUUGUAAAGGACUUUCAGCGGGGAGGAGUUACCCGCAGAAGGAGCACCGGCUAAUUCCGUGCCAGCCGCCGCGGUAAUUC
rnacentral:rRNA from 1 species